UGCUGCCACACCUUGAUGCACAGCUGAAGUCCCUUCCUCAUUAGUAAACUGCAUAAAAGCCACACUCAUCCACGUUGCCUAGAUGCUGAAUGUGCACAGCCUCGCGUUCUCUCCCAGCAGCUGCGUGUUUCCUAAGGCUAUCGAUGUUCCUAUACAGCUCAUAGCAGAGCAGCAUGCAAAUCUUCCACAUGAUCAACUCUCAAAUAGGAAUGAGCGUGGGUGCAGCCCUAUGUGAGGUGAUGUGAGCCAGUCAGAUGAAGACAUCAAAUGCCAUUGCUGGAACCGUGACACCCACUGAAGAGCUGGAGAGCAGGGCAAAUGUUGAUUUCCCUUCCUGACGGGCUGAGCAAACAUGCAAUAACAAUGUGGAGUAGAUUCCACAUUGUUUUUGCGCUGGAAGGAGAACCAGCGUGUCGGUCUUUCAACACAGCAGCUUCAGCAACAAAAGGUACUGUCUGUACCUGGUUUUCUCAGCAGAGGAAAGCUGCCCACACAUUUAUUUUCAGAUCUAGAAAACACCGGGUGCACUGGCAGUGUGUGUUUAACAUCCCCUCUCUGUCAUCGCCCACAAGAGAUAAAAACUGUUAAACAUUCAGGUGCUCAUUUUAGUCUUUCAAGCUAGCUAAAAAGAACAGCUUUGUAACAGCACAUUGCCUAUUUGCUAAAUAUACUGCUGUGACAUUUGUUUCCAUGGCUUUUCUCAUUACGUGUGGUAAUACAUGAACAGAAUGCAAAUGCAUUUUGUCUACAGUAUAUUUAUUUAUAUAUCAUUUCUAAUAUAUUAUGUAACUUUGAUUUAUAGUUACAGCACUUGAGUUCACUGUGUAUACAAUAUGUUAUUUAAAACAAGUUUCAGUGCAUGCAGGUGUAAUGUACUUACUGUACUCUUACUGUAAAUCUAUGUGCAUGAAGCAAUCACUUUGACGUUGGUGAAAAUUAUACAUCAACCCAUGCCUUCAUCGGUUGUUGGGGAGGAUAACACAAAAUAUGUAAUUUUCUCUAACAAAAUGUUGAAAUCAGUUAAAAUAAGAAUUUCAUAGAACAAAUUAAAGUCAGUGAUUUAAAAAAUGUCUUGUUGAUUAGAGGAGAAUACCCAGACUGCUUUGAGCUGAUA